rnacentral:tRNA from 1 species
GCCUUCGUAGUGUAGUGGUCAGCAUACUCAGCGUGUAUUCGAGUGGUCCGUGGUUCGAGUCCUGGCGAGGACA